rnacentral:rRNA from 1 species
UGCAGAAUCCCGUGAACCAUCGAGUCUUUGAACGCAAGUUGCGCCCGAUGCCAUUAGGUUGAGGGCACGUCUGCCUGGGUGUCACAUAUCGAAGCCUCCUGCCAAUUUCCCUUUGAUUAUUGUGCAGGGUGGACGUUGGCCUCCCGUGAACUCUUUUUGGUCAUGGUUGGUUGAAAAUUGAGACCUUGGUAGGGUGUGCCAUGAUAGAUGGUGGUUGUGUGAUCCACGAGACCAAUCAUGUGCGGCUCUAUUAAAUAUGGCCUCUUUUACCCAUAUGCGUUUCUAAACGCUCGUGAUGAGACCUCAGGUCAGGCGGGGCUACCCGCUGAAUUUAAGCAUAUCAAUAAGCGGAGGAAAAGAAACUAACAAGGAUUCCCUUAGUAACGGCGAGCGAACCGGGAUAAGCCCACCAUGAGAAUCGGUCGCCCUCGGCGUUCGA